AAGGAGCGAGCCUAUGGUAAGCCUGUAAAAAUCUGGUUCUCGAAAAGGACAUCGGGCGUGGCUUAUUUACAGGCGUUAAACAUGGAGUACUUGAAUCAUAUAAUCUAUCGAUCGACUCAUUCUCAUUGACUGUGUCCGACUCCGAGCCUUGCUUGCAUUGGUUCUGAACUCUUUUAAAUGGAUCAAUGAUAUUUACGUCAUUUACAAUGAAUCAAAACAGUUUGCUAGGAGCCAACUUAAGAAGAACUUUGAUGUUGUCACCUGGUCAGCAAGAAAUUCCUCCCAAAGUUACUCAGGGGGCAGGAAACCGUGGUGAGAUGGAACUAGGUGUCAGCGAGAAG